CCUACGGGGGGCAGCAGUGAGGAAUCUUGGUCAAUGGGCGCGAGCCUGAAGCAGCCAAGCCGCGUGAGUGAUGAAGGUUCUAUGGAUCGUAAACCUCUUUUAUAAGGGAAUAAAGUGUGGGACGUGUCCUACUUUGUAUGUACCUUAUGAAUAAGGAUCGGCUAACUCCGUGCCAGCAGCCGCGGUAAUACGGAGGAUCCGAGCGUUAUCCGGAUUUAUUGGGUUUAAAGGGUGCGUAGGCGGCCUUAUAAGUCAGCGGUGAAAGUCUGUGGCUCAACCAUAGAAUUGCAGUUGAAACUGGGGGGCUUGAGUAUGUUUGAGGCAGGCGGAAUGCGUGGUGUAGCGGUGAAAUGCUUAGAUAUCACGCAGAACCCCGAUUGCGAAGGCAGCCUGCCAGGCCUUGACUGACGCUGAUGCACGAAAGCGUGGGGAUCGAACAGGAUUAGAUACCCGAGUAGUC
rnacentral:rRNA from 1 species